rfam:Lysinibacillus sp. BF-4 contig00002, whole genome shotgun sequence.
CUCUUAUCCCGAGCUGGUGGAGGGUCAGGCCCUAUGAAACCCGGCAACCUGCAUUAUAUUUUUAUAUAAGGUGUUGGUGCUUAACCUGAAUGCAAGGGGACUACCCUUGAACGAUAAGAG